rnacentral:rRNA from 1 species
UACGUAGGGUGCGAGCGUUAAUCGGAAUUACUGGGCGUAAAGCGUGCGCAGGCGGUUUUGUAAGCCAGAUGUGAAAUCCCCGGGCUUAACCUGGGAAUGGCAUUUGGGACUGCAAGGCUUGAGUGCGGCAGAGGAGACUGGAAUUCCCGGUGUAGCAGUGAAAUGCGUAGAUAUCGGGAGGAAUACCGAUGGCGAAGGCGGGUAGCUGGGCCGACACUGACGCUGAGGCGCGAAAGCCAGGGGAGCGAACGGG